rnacentral:rRNA from 1 species
CCCUUAGAUGUUCUGGGCCGCACACGCGCUACACUGAAGGAGGCAGCGUGUACUCCUGGAUCGAAAGAUUUGGGUAACCCGCGAAUCUCCUUCGUGCUAGGGAUUGAGGUUUGCAAUUAUCCUUCAUGAACGAGGAAUUCCCAGUAAGUGCAAGUCAUAAGCUUGCGCUGACUACGUCCCUGCCCUUUGUACACACCGCCCGUCGCUACUACCGAUUGAAUGAUUUAGUGAGGACUUCGGACUGGGACCGAUGCGGCUUUCGGGCUGCGUCGGUAUUCUGGAAAGAUGUCCAAACUGUAUCAUUUAGAGGAAGUAAAAGNCGUAANA